rnacentral:rRNA from 1 species
GAUGAACGCUGGCGGCGUGCCUAAUACAUGCAAGUCGAGCGCUCGAAAGAGAAGCUUGCUCUUCUGAUGUUAGCUGCGAACGGGUGAGUAACACGUAGGUAACCUACCUAUAAGACUGGGAUAACUUCUGGAAACCGUAGCUAAUACCGGAUAAUAUUUUGUGCCGCAUGGUUCAAAAGUGAAAGACGCUCUUGCUGUCACUCAUAGUUGAAUCCGCGCUGCAUUAGCUAGUUGGUAAGGUAAGGGCUUACCAAGGCAACGAUGCAUAGCCGACCUGAGAGGGUGAUCGGCCACACUGGAACUGAGACACGGUCCAGACUCCGACGGGAGGCAGCAGUAGGGAAUCUUCCGCAAUGGGCGAAAGCCUGACGGAGCAACGCCGCGUGAGUGAUGAAGGUCUUCGGAUCGUAAAACUCUGUUAUUAGGGAAGAACAUAUGUGUAAGUAACUGUGCACAUCUUGACGGUACCUAAUCAGAAAGCCACGGCUAACUACGUG